UACGGAAGGUGCAAGCGUUGUUCGGAUUGACUGGGCGUAAAGAGCACGUAGGCGGAUUCAUAAGUCGAAUGUGAAAGCCCAGGGCUUAACCCUGGAACUGCAUUCGAAACUGUGAGUCUUGAAUGUUUGAGAGGUUGGCGGAAUUCCAGGUGUAGGAGUGAAAUCCGUAGAUAUCUGGAGGAACACCGGAGGCGAAGGCGGCUAACUGGCAAAACAUUGACGCUGAGGUGCGAAAGCGUGGGUAGCAAACAGG
rnacentral:rRNA from 1 species